AGCGAACGCUGGCGGUAGGCCUAACACAUGCCAGUCGAACGGCAGCACAGUAAGAGCUUGCUCUUACCGGUGGCGAGUGGCGGACGGGUGACGUAUACAACGUAAUCUACUCUUUCGUGGGGGUUAACGUAGGUAAACUUACGCUAAUACCGCAUACGACCUACCGGUGAAAGCAGUGGAACUUCGGACCUUGCGCGAUUGAAUGAGCCGAUGUGGGAUUAGCUGGUUGGCGGGGUAAAUGCCCACCCAGGCGGCGAUCCGUAGCCGGAGUGAGAGGAUGGUCGGCGACACGGGAAGUGGAACACGGACAAGGCUACUGCGGGAGGCAGCAGUGGGGAAUGUUGGGCAGUGGGGGGAAGCCUGGUACAGCGAUACCGCGUGGGUGAAGAAGGCGUUCGGGUUGUAAAGCCCUUUUGUUGGGAAAGAAAAGCAGCAGGUUAAGACGAAGCUGUUCUGACGGUACCGGAAGAAUAAGCACCGGCUAACUUCGUG
rnacentral:rRNA from 1 species